CAGGGAUGGCCUUCAGCAAUCGGAUGACUACCACCUUCUCCUGAUCAACUGGGAUCCUGGGAUCCUUGUGUGUGAAGAUAGGGUAAUCAGAAAAGCACUUGGGUACUUAGAGCGUUCUCUGGAAGACUAUCGCAAAAGAAUGAAGUCAUGCCAAACCCAGUCAGCAAUGUGUCAGGGAAGGCCAACUAAGAGAGACCCCAAAUGAAGUGUUGACAGUUCCACGAAUCACAACACACACAUGCAGCACCCAGGGGUCACGAGCUCGCAAUGAGGUGCCAGAAUUGGCCUACGUACACACGUGUAUCGGCACGCACACCCACAAAAGAGAAGGGUACCCACUAAUGAAAGCGUGCAGGGCAGAAGACGAAAUGGACCUCACGUACGGUCUGGAAAAAGGGCAACGAGAACGUCCGCGUUGCCCUGCGCCCUACUACCGUUCCGUCAAGCAAGGGGAAGUUUCCGGACCUUUUACAUUCUACUGUAUCCAGAAGUCAAUCUCACGCACCCUGCCGCUGCUUUCAGCUUUGCGAACCAUAGGAAGACAAAACCCUUCUGACAUAACAGCUAUUUCUUUCGGGAAAACAGCUGCAGCAAUAAUCUAGGGGAGAAACGAUCAUCAUUACUUCCAGUUAGAAUCUCUCCUUUGGUUGAAC